GGGGCAAAAAGAUGGAGACAAGUGUAGAAAAUAUUGAAGUAAAUAAAGAGAAGAUGAUGAAGCAGUUCAAUAAAUCAGUUGAUUUGGAAUUACAAUUACCAAAAUCUAAUGAUCAGAGAUCAUCAGAAUUAGCCAAAACUAAAUCAUGAGACGGGAAUUGUCCAAGACUAUAUAAACAGACUACUCAACCGGUGGGUGUUGGCUAUUAACC
rnacentral:misc_RNA from 1 species